UACGGAGGGGGCUAGCGUUGUUCGGAAUCACUGGGCGUAAAGGGCGCGUAGGCGGCUUUAUAAGUCGGGGGUGAAAGCCUGUGGCUCAACCACAGAAUUGCCUUCGAUACUGUAGAGCUUGAGACCGGAAGAGGUAAGUGGAACUGCGAGUGUAGAGGUGAAAUUCGUAGAUAUUCGCAAGAACACCAGUGGCGAGGGCGGCUUACUGGUCCGGUUCUGACGCUGAGGCGCGAAAGCGUGGGGAGCAAACAGG
rnacentral:rRNA from 1 species